GAUGAAGAACGUAGCGAAAUGCGAUAAGUAGUGUGAAUUGCAGAAUUCAGUGAAUCAUCGAAUCUUUGAACGCACAUUGCGCCCCUCGGUAUUCCGUGGGGCAUGCCUGUUCGAGCGUCAUUUAACCCCUCAAGCCUAGCUUGGUAUUGGGUGCUUGUCCCGCCUCUCGCGCGGCGACUCACCUCAAAGUCAUUGGCAGCCCGCAUCUCGCCGGCCGUGAGCGCAGCACAGACGCGCUCUUGGCAACGACGGAUCGGCUCUCCAAAAGCUUAUUUCAACCACUGACCUCGGAUCAGGUAGGGAUUCCCGCUGAACUUAAGCAUAUCAAUAAGCGGAGGA
rnacentral:misc_RNA from 1 species